rnacentral:rRNA from 1 species
UACGAAGGGGGCUAGCGUUGCUCGGAUUUACUGGGCGUAAAGGGCGCGUAGGCGGCUUUUUAAGUCAGAGGUGAAAUCCUGGAGCUCAACUCCAGAACUGCCUUUGAUACUGGAGAGCUUGAGUCCGGGAGAGGUGAGUGGAACUGCGAGUGUAGAGGUGAAAUUCGUAGAUAUUCGCAAGAACACCAGUGGCGAAGGCGGCUCGACUGGCCCGGU